CACAAUUCUAGUGGUUGUAAUGGGGAAGAAUGGACAAGUGUCAAGAAUACAUUAAUCUGAAAAGGAAGAAGCAGUCUUUAUUCUGUUCCCAAGCAAAAAAGUCUCUGCAGGCUCCUAUGCUUUGUUUCCAGCUGUAAAAGUAUAACAGAUUUGAAACUGAAUGUGGAAGUGAAAGAAAAAAAAAGCGUUCAGCCUGGUCUUUCAGAGAACUGAAGUGAUCAAAGAGUGAGAACAAGGCACUUCAACUGAAGUGGUGAGAAAGAGCCUGGACAAUAAUUUUCUCAUGAGAGGAUGCUAGCAGAUCACAUUGCAGGACAAGGGCCAAUACUAAAGACUGAUGUUCCAGCCCAGAUUUUGUAAACCACCAGCAGAGCCAUGUGUACCUGUUGCUACUGCCCACUGACUGGCUGCAACACAGUGAUGGGGAAUACUACCUCUUAUUGUGGAAACUGAUGCUCAUCAAUGCAUAUUAUCUGUGUUUGUAUUUGGGAGAUCUCUUAACAGCUCCAUACUCAAUGAAUCCUCUUUCUUGGGCUUCAGGGCCUGGAGGGGUGAAGGGAGAAUGCACUAAGGUACAUUCUACCUGCCAUGGUCCAGAGUUUGGUAACAAUGCUUUUGACAUAAACAGUGUAAAGAGAAGAUUUAAGUAGCCAAUAAUGUCACCUCUAAUCAUACUUCUUAAGCUACCUCCUGCAGUAAUGAAGAUAGUUGUAAAUAAAAUAUCUAAGCAAUCUAAAGCACCAUAAAAAACUAUAUGCUAAAAGAAGGAUAUAGACUCACCAAAGGCUGACAUUUGUUUUUUAAAGCUAAAAUACUCAAAAUUCAAAAGUAGAUAAUUUCUCACUAGACCAAUAUUAGUUGCAUAAAUUUUUGUAGUUUCAGAAAUCAUGUAAUACUUUUGUAUUCAUAAUACAGUAUUUAUUUCAAUUUUCUAUUCAUAUGCAUAUUCUGUUACAUAUCUCUAAAGUAAAUAUAGAAUUUACUCAUUAUCUGCUUAUUUAUGUUCAAAUUUCAUUCAGUAGAAAAUUUGGUAGAAAAAUGACACUAUUUACCAAUUAACUUGGUCAUGAAUCCAUUCUGGAAUCUCAAACUGAAUAUAUUUGCAUCUUAAAAUGUGUGUACACAACUCCCAGUAGCAUUGUAUGCUCACAUUGAGAGGGCAACAUACUUGAACUGAAUAUUCUGUAAAUUCAUAUGAUCUAAUUAUGAAGUCUCUUUUAACUGUUUUUUUUAUAUUGCUUCUCCAGAGACUGGUAUACUGAUGAUUUAUUGGCAGUGAUAUAGUAUGUUCAAAAAGGGAAAAUGUAAGCAAUUGUACUCUUUGCAAACUGUAAUCCCAACCUAAACUUCAAGAGUUUAGAACAGAUCCCAGACAGUUUGCAUCUAAAUUAUUCAGUUAGCUGUAACUUGAACUGUACAUGUAACAAGAACUGGAAAGACAAAUAUGGACUGUGAAUUGGAAAUGACAAGACUCCAAGAAAAGAGGAGCUAAAGAAAGGAGACUGUGGGAUCAAUACCAUCAGAAGAUCAAGUAACAGUGAGAAGCUGAGAGAGGAGAUACUGCAUAAACAAAUUGCAUAUGAAAAACUUUGCUAAAUGAAUGCUAUUCUUUUGGUAU